rnacentral:SRP_RNA from 1 species
GCUGGGUGUGGUGGUGCACACCUGUAAUCCCAGCUACUCAGGAGGCUGAGGCAGGAGAAUGGCUUGAACCCAGGAGGUGGAGGUUGCAGUGAGCCGAGAUCACACCACUGCACUCCAGCCUGGGUGACAGAGCAAGACUCUGUCUACA